rnacentral:rRNA from 1 species
UACGUAGGGUGCAAGCGUUGUCCGGAAUUAUUGGGCGUAAAGAGCUCGUAGGCGGUCUGUUGCGUCGGCUGUGAAAACCCGGGGCUCAACCCUGGGAUGCCGGUGGAUACUGUCGGGCUCGAGUCCGGAAGAGGAGUGUGGAAUUCCUGGUGUAGCGGUGAAAUGCGCAGAUAUCAGGAGGAACACCAAUGGCGAAGGCAGCACUCUGGGACGUGACUGACGCUGAGACGCGAAAGCGUGGGGAGCAAACAGG